AGGGGAACUUCGGUGCGGCGCGAGGCGCCAAGGCCGGGGCGGUCCCGCCACUGUGAGCCGCGACCAGUUGGCGCGGUGAGCCAGAACACCU
rnacentral:ncRNA from 2 species